rnacentral:rRNA from 1 species
UACAGAGGUCCCAAGCGUUGUUCGGAUUCACUGGGCGUAAAGGGUGCGUAGGUGGCGGGGUAAGUCGGAUGUGAAAUCUCCGAGCUCAACUCGGAAAUGGCAUUGGAAACUACCUUGCUCGAGGGUUGGAGGGGGGACUGGAAUACUUGGUGUAGCAGUGAAAUGCGUAGAUAUCAGGAGGAACACCGGUGGCGAAGGCGGGUCUCUGGGCCGAUACUGACGCUGAGGAGCGAAAGCGUGGGGAGCGAACAGG